rnacentral:tRNA from 1 species
UGAGGUGUGGCUCAAGUGGGAGAGUACCUGCCUAGAAAGGAGGCGACACUGAGUUCAAACCUCAGUAUCACAA